AGCGAACGCUGGCGGCAGGCUUAACACAUGCAAGUCGAGCGGGCGUAGCAAUACGUCAGCGGCAGACGGGUGAGUAACGCGUGGGAACGUACCUUUUGGUUCGGAACAACACAGGGAAACUUGUGCUAAUACCGGAUAAGCCCUUACGGGGAAAGAUUUAUCGCCGAAAGAUCGGCCCGCGUCUGAUUAGCUAGUUGGUGAGGUAACGGCUCACCAAGGCGACGAUCAGUAGCUGGUCUGAGAGGAUGAUCAGCCACAUUGGGACUGAGACACGGCCCAAACUCCUACGGGAGGCAGCAGUGGGGAAUAUUGGACAAUGGGCGCAAGCCUGAUCCAGCCAUGCCGCGUGAGUGAUGAAGGCCCUAGGGUUGUAAAGCUCUUUUGUGCGGGAAGAUAAUGACGGUACCGCAAGAAUAAGCCCCGGCUAACUUCGUGCCAGCAGCCGCCGCGG
rnacentral:rRNA from 1 species